rnacentral:rRNA from 1 species
GAGUGACCGGGAAGAGCUCAAAUUUGAAAUCUGGCGUCCUCAGGGCGUCCGAGUUGUAAUCUAUAGAGGCGUUUUCCGUGCCGGACCGUGUCCAAGUUCCUUGGAACAGGAUAUCAAAGAGGGUGACAAUCCCGUACUUGACACGACGACCGGUGCUCUGUGAUACGUCUUCUACGAGUCGAGUUGUUUGGGAAUGCAGCUCAAAAUGGGUGGUGAGUUCCAUCUAAAGCUAAAUAUUGGCGAGAGACCGAUAGCGAACAAGUACCGUGAGGGAAAGAUGAAAAGCACUUUGGAAAGAGAGUUAAACAGUACGUGAAAUUGUUGAAAGGGAAACGAUUGAAGUCAGUCGUGACCGASAGGCUCARCCGGUUCUGCCGGUGUAUUCCCCUCGGUCGGGUCAACAUCAGUUUUGUCCGGUGGAUAAGGGCGGUAGGAAGGUGGCACCCUCGGGUGUGUUAUARCCUGCCGUCKCAUACAUCGGGUGAGACUGAKGAACGCASCUCGCCUUUAUGGCCGGGGUUCGCCCACGUCCGAGCUUAKGAUGUUGACAUAAUGGCUUUAAACGACCCGUCUUG